GACGAACGCUGGCGGCGUGCUUAACACAUGCAAGUCGAACGGAAAGGCCCUGCUUUUGUGGGGUGCUCGAGUGGCGAACGGGUGAGUAACACGUGAGUAACCUGCCCUUGACUUUGGGAUAACUUCAGGAAACUGGGGCUAAUACCGGAUAGGAGCUCCUGCUGCAUGGUGGGGGUUGGAAAGUUUCGGCGGUUGGGGAUGGACUCGCGGCUUAUCAGCUUGUUGGUGGGGUAGUGGCUUACCAAGGCUUUGACGGGUAGCCGGCCUGAGAGGGUGACCGGCCACAUUGGGACUGAGAUACGGCCCAGACUCCUACGGGAGGCAGCAGUGGGGAAUAUUGCACAAUGGGCGGAAGCCUGAUGCAACAACGCCGCGUGCGGGAUGACGGCCUUCGGGUUGUAAACCGCUUUCGCCUGUGACGAAGCGUGAGUGACGGUAAUGGGUAAAGAAGCACCGGCUAACUACGUGCCAGCAGCCGCGGUGAUACGUAGGGUGCGAGCGUUGUCCGGAUUUAUUGGGCGUAAAAGGGCUCGUAGGUGGUUGAUCGCGUCGGAAGUGUAAUCUUGGGGCUUAUCCUGAGCGUGCUUUCGAUACGGGUUGACUUGAGGAAGGUAGGGGAGAAUGGAAUUCCUGGUGGAGCGGUGGAAUGCGCAGAUAUCAGGAGGAACACCAGUGGCGAAGGCGGUUCUCUGGGCCUUUCCUGACGCUGAGGAGCGAAAGCGUGGGGAGCGAACAGGCUUAGAUACCCUGGUAGUCCACGCUGUAAACGGUGGGUACUAGGUGUGGGGUCCAUUCCACGGGUUCCGUGCCGUAGCUAACGCUUUAAGUACCCCGCCUGGGGAGUACGGCCGCAAGGCUAAAACUCAAAGGAAUUGACGGGGCCCCGCACAAGCGGCGGAGCAUGCGGAUUAAUUCGAUGCAACGCGUAGAACCUUACCUGGGUUUGACAUGGAUCGGGAGCGCUCAGAGAUGGGUGUGCCUCUUUUGGGGUCGGUUCACAGGUGGUGCAUGGCUGUCGUCAGCUCGUGUCGUGAGAUGUUGGGUUAAGUCCCGCAACGAGCGCAACCCUUGUUCACUGUUGCCAGCACGUUAUGGUGGGGACUCAGUGGAGACCGCCGGGGUCAACUCGGAGGAAGGUGGGGAUGACGUCAAGUCAUCAUGCCCCUUAUGUCCAGGGCUUCACGCAUGCUACAAUGGCUGGUACAGAGAGUGGCGAGCCUGUGAGGGUGAGCGAAUCUCGGAAAGCCGGUCUCAGUUCGGAUUGGGGUCUGCAACUCGACCUCAUGAAGUCGGAGUCGCUAGUAAUCGCAGAUCAGCAACGCUGCGGUGAAUACGCUCCCGGG
rnacentral:rRNA from 1 species